rnacentral:lncRNA from 1 species
GAAUUCCAGGACAGCCAGGGCUUUACAGUUCGUGAUUGCUGAGCGUCCGUCCCUGCUGGAUUGGUUGUUUCACCUCCCUAUGAACAUCCUGUGUCUGAAUGAGCUGCCUCCUCUGGUGGAAGGUUUUAAUCUUGGAGGAAACUGUUAAAGAGCAGAUUUUGAUAUGGUUCAGCUGGGAAAGGCACUUGCCUGAAUUUGAUCCUCAUGUCCGACAUGGUACAAGAGGAGAACUGACUCUAGUGAGUUGUCCUCAGGCUGCCAUAUGUGUACCAUAGCAUGUGCAUGCCCACCCACCACCCACCCCCAAAAUGUAAUUUUUAAAGUAUUUUUUGUCCCUACUGUUGAAGAUUAUAAGUGU